rnacentral:rRNA from 1 species
GGACCCGCACAAGCAGCGGAGCAUGUGGUUUAAUUCGAAGCAACGCGAAGAACCUUACCAGGUCUUGACAUCCUUCGACCGGUAUAGAGAUAUACAAUUUCCUUCGGGAACGAAGAGACAGGUGGUGCAUGGUUGUCGUCAGCUCGUGUCGUGAGAUGUUGGGUUAAGUCCCGCAACGAGCGCAACCCCUGUUGUUAGUUGCCAUCAUUAAGUUGGGCACUCUAACGAGACUGCCGUAGACAAUACGGAGGAAGGUGGGGAUGACGUCAAAUCAUCAUGCCCCUUAUGACCUGGGCUACACACGUGCUACAAUGGUCUGAACAAAGGGAAGCGAAGCGGCAACGUGAAGCGAAUCCCAAGAAAACAGAUCCCAGUUCGGAUUGCAGGCUGAACUCGCCUGCAUGAAGUUGGAGUUGCUAGUAAUCGCGAAUCAGCAUGUCG